rnacentral:rRNA from 1 species
GAAGGCUUUCGGGUUGUAAACCUCUUUCAGGUGGGACGAAGCUUCCAGGGUUAAUAGCCCAUGGGGUGACGGUACCUCCAGAAGAAGCCCCGGCUAACUACGUGCCAGCAGCCGCGGUAAUACGUAGGGGGCAAGCGUUGUCCGGAAUCAUUGGGCGUAAAGCGCGUGUAGGCGGCUUGAUAAGUCCGGUGUGAAACCUUGGGGCUCAACCCCAAGCCUGCACCGGAUACUGUCUCGCUUGAGUUCGGGAGGGGAGAGCGGAAUUCCUAGUGUAGCGGUGAAAUGCGCAGAUAUUAGGAAGAACACCAAUGGCGAAGGCAGCUCUCUGGAACGAUACUGACGCUGAGACGCGAAAAGCGUGGGGAGCGAACAGGAUUAGAUACCCUGGUAGUCCACGCCGUAAACGAUGGGCACUAGAUGUGGGCGGUGUCGACUCCGUCCGUGUCGCAGCUAACGCACUAAGUGCCCCGCCUGGGGAGUACGGCCGCAAGGCUAAAAACUCAAAGGAAUUGACGGG